UUUUCCUCUAAAAAUCUUCUGACAAUUUCUCCCUUCAUUUCACCACCUGAACCCUAGUUUCUCCCUUCAUUCCAUCCGCUCUCUCCCUCUUCUUUCAUUUCUCCUUUAGAUUGCCCAAUGUUUUCCUUUUUCUUUCAGAUUCGUAGUCGACGGACAGAGCUGCAACGAUGGUUCUACAGGCCGGCAGACAGCGGAGCUCAUAACGUCACGGUCGAUAGGGCAAUUUCUUCUAUGAAGUUGUGUUAGAGUUUGCAGCUGAGAACCAGUGGAAACAUGCUCUUUUAAGCAUUGUGUCGCAUCUCACUUGAAGGUUUCUCUUUUAAGUAUUGCAAUCUCACAGUUAUCAAGCAAGCUCGUGAUGCAAAUGAGCCAGACUCUCCUUUAGGAACGAGACAAUCAUCUGAUGGAAGUAACAUUUAGGAAGUUUAUGAUAUUGUUUUAGGAUAAAAUUAUACUUCGUUUAUUAUGAAUUGG
rnacentral:sRNA from 1 species